rnacentral:siRNA from 1 species
UCAAUAUCUCUCACAGUUUGC